CUGUCUGUGGUGAAACUGCAGGGACAGAAGGUGAUACAGGGAGCACUGGGUCACCACGCUUACCCCUUCAGGAUCAUCACCAGAAGCCUGAUAGUAGAGGGAAUGGGGCAGAGGUUUCACUACCCAGCAGAUUACUGAGCAUCGUGACGUACGAUUCCUCCCUUCAGGACAACUGCUAGCAGAGUCUGUACACCUGCAGUUGACAAUGUUCUACAAGUACCAUCAGGACCGCCAACCCAAGCUGCAGGCAGGGGUGAGCAAUGCCUCCGUCCGCAGCAUGUGAUUCAAUACGAGUCAACACUUCAACAUCCAAGGAGCAAGCUGCAGGAGCUGCGGAAAAAGCUGCACACACUCCAGGCUUGCAACGAAAAACAACACAAAGGAUCUACAGCGACGUCAGCAAUCAAGAACAAUCUGUGAACUCGUGCAGAGUCUGAAAGACCAUUGCCUCAUUUGCUAACACCUGUGAAGAAGCUUUUGAAUGCAAUGUUGACAGGUUCCUUACUGCCCAAGGAUUCAGGUCGAAGCUCUCGGGUAAAUCUUAGUUAUGGUCAAACGAAACAUUCCAACUUUGUGUUCUCUGUCAGUGUAUGCUGACUUAUCCAGUCCUUUUCUUCGUGUGCGUUUGUUUUGAUCCGUGGGGAUGCAAAAAUGCACAGCUUAAGGACUGUGCAGUGCAUCCGAGGGCAGCAGGGCAAGUUGAAAGGCUGAGGUUGUAAUUGUUGGACUGCUGUUUGUACGUAUUUGUUUAACCUCUUUCAUAAUUGCACUCGGUGCACGUGAAGACCACGUAAAUGCUUCUGGGGUGCUUAGAAACGUUGUUCGUAGUAUG